CAGCAGCCCGAGUGGUGGUCGAUUUUAUUGAGCCUAAAGCGUCCGUAGCCGGACUAGUAAACCCUUGGGUAAAUUGGGCAGCUUAACUGUCCAAAUUCCGAGGGGACUGCUAGUCUUGGGACCGGGAGAGGUCAGAGGUACUCAAGGGGUAGGGGCUAAAUCCUGUAAUCCUUUGGGGACCACCAGUGGCGAAGGCGUCUGACUAGAACGGAUCCGACGGUAAGGGACGAAACCCUGGGGCGCGAACCGGAUUAGAUACCCGAGUAGUCC
rnacentral:rRNA from 1 species